rnacentral:rRNA from 1 species
GACGAACGCUGGCGGCGUGCUUAACACAUGCAAGUCGAACGGAAAGGCCUCUUUCGGGGGGUACUCGAGUGGCGAACGGGUGAGUAACACGUGAGUAACCUGCCCUUGACUUUGGGAUAACUUCAGGAAACUGGGGCUAAUACCGGAUAGGAGCUCCUGCUGCCUGGUGGGGGUUGGAAAGUUUCGGCGGUUGGGGAUGGACUCGCGGCUUAUCAGCUUGUUGGUGGGGUAGUGGCUUACCAAGGCUUUGACGGGUAGCCGGCCUGAGAGGGUGACCGGCCACAUUGGGACUGAGAUACGGCCCAGACUCCUACGGGAGGCAGCAGUGGGGAAUAUUGCACAAUGGGUGGAAGCCUGAUGCAGCAACGCCGUGUGCGGGAGGACGGCCUUCGGGUUGUAAACCGCUUUCGCUCAUGACGAAGCUUUGUGUGACGGUAGUGGGUAAAGAAGCACCGGCUAACUACGUG